CCUACGGGAGGCAGCAGUAGGGAAUCUUCCACAAUGGGCGAAAGCCUGAUGGAGCAACGCCGCGUGGGUGAAGAAGGUCUUCGGCUCGUAGAACCCUGUUGUUAGAGAAGAAAGUGCGUGAGAGUAACUGUUCACGUUUCGACGGUAUCUAACCAGAAAGCCACGGCUAACUACGUGCCAGCAGCCGCGGUAAUGCGUAGGUGGCAAGCGUUAUCCGGAUUUAUUGGGCGUAAAGGGAACGCAGGCGGUCUUUUAAGUCUGAUGGGAAAGCCUUCGGCUUAACCGGAGUAGUGCAUUGGAAACUGGGAGACUUGAGUGCAGAAGAGGAGAGCGGAACGCCAUGUGUAGCGGUGAAAUGCGUAGAUAUAUGGAAGAACACCAGUGGCGAAAGCGGCUCUCUGGUCGGUAACUGACGCUGAGGUUCGAAAGCGUGGGUAGCAAACAGGAUUAGAUACCCCGGUAGUC
rnacentral:rRNA from 1 species